rnacentral:rRNA from 1 species
UACGAACUGUGCGAACGCUCUUCGGAAUCACUGGGCUUAAAGGGUGCGUAGGCGGCGGCACAAGUCAGGUGUGAAAUCCCCCGGCGCAACCGGGGAACAGCGCGUGAAACUAGGUCGCUCGAGUGAGGCAGGGGUGCAUGGAAAUUCCGGUGGAGCAGUGAAAUGUGUACAUAUCGGAAGGAACGCUGGCGGCGAAAGCGGUGCACUGGGCGUUGUCUGACGCUGAGGAACGAAAGCUAGGGGAGUGAAAGGG